AUAUAAGCUCCACUGGAUUCAAAGUAGAAUUCCUCAUACUUGAAAGCAUGAAAUCCCCGCAAAAUAGUCGUUUGCAUUGAACAUAAUUUCAUUUUCAAACACAUCUAUUCAAUCUUGACCUUUUCAGUUUUGUGCAUAAUUUAAUAUAUAUUGAAAGUCACUGAGAAGUUAGACAACUAAAUGUCACAUCACAUAUAGAAUGUAUGUAUGUAUUGUACAUAUCUGCAAAAGUAACUUAAACUUCAUAGAUAUACAAAAAUCCCUCCUUAGGAGGUCUGUAGAAAUUUAAAGACAGAAUAUAUUAUACUCCUGGAUGUAUGCGAUAAAUGAGAUUUGGUGAAGAUUUUGGUGGCAUGACAUAGUUGUUUUUACAUCAAGGAGUGCUAUCUUGUUGUUUUAACGAAGUGAUUUAUGUAUGAAGAGCUCCUCAAAUUCCACUUUCUUAAUCUACAGAUAAUGAAAUACGUUUGUAAUAGGGAUGUGGUUCUUGGUGUGGAUCAGUCUCAAUCUCUCAAAGUCUGGAUCUCAUUGCCAAGACAAAUAACAAAGCAACUAAAAAACUAGAUAUUUUUCUCUUUUAGUUUCAUCCCAUCAAAUUCUUUGUCAUUCCUUGGUCUCAGAUCACCGUUUUUCAAACUUUUUCCUGUCAGAGCACCUUUCAAAAUUGCAUGAAUCUCAAGGUACUCCAGUGUGUCAAGCAUGAAUUAAAAUGACACUGCAUAGCUUGAAUGAAAAUGUCCUGUUUAUUUAGACUAGACAGUAAUGGUAUAAUUACAGCCUCUGCAAUAGUGUGAAGCGUUCUUGUUUUAGCUACUAUUUCAGCUGUAAAGAAGAUUCUUCAGAUUUAGUCAUCAUUUCGAGGGUUGAGUGCCAAAUUGUCGCAACUAAAAAAUGAAAAAUAUAUGUGUAUAUGUCAUCCUAGAAGUUUCAUAUUCAAUGGUGAUAUUUGAGAAACACUGCUCCAGAUAUUUAGACAAUUUUUUUUCUACUAUGGAGAUAUUAUUCAUAAAUAGAUAGAAAUUUCCACAAUUUGACAAGAGUUAAGAUUAUAUUUCGAGUAGAACCAAUUAACAUUUACAACACUUCUAAAAAGGAUCUACAACUGCAAAAAAAACAACUGUUUACAUAUUUAUGUCAGUAGGACAACGCCGUCUCAAGAA
rnacentral:lncRNA from 1 species